UCCCUGGUGGUUCAGUGGUUAGAACUCUGCACUCUCACUGCCAGCAGCUCAGGUUCAAUCCCUGGUUGGGGAA
rnacentral:tRNA from 1 species